AGAAACACAAACAUCUGGAGAACAUCCCCAGGUAAACUGCUGGGCAGUGCAGAAAAUAUCUGGUGUGAUCUGAAACAGCUUUUUCUUCCCAUGAAAGUAAACCUCCGGGACUGGGAAAUUUCAAAGAGCUGGAGAGGACACAGAAGACAAGUCAAAACCCAGAAGGUUCACACAGCACAACUAGUCUACAAGGACUAGUUUGAACUACUCUCACCAGCUAAGACAACACUUCUUCUCUACAAGUGAAUCUCCAUGGAAAACUCUGUAUCAAACACACUGAUUUGUUUCGCCACCAAGAGAAGAAAGGUCAUUUGGCAGCUCUUUGAACUGUUGUAAAAAGCCCACCUACUUGGUUCCAGUCUUGCGGACCACAAGACAAGAAUUUAGAACAAGGAGUGUGAAGAAAACAGCUGAGGUGGAAAAGGGAUAUUUAGAGUCCCUACUGGCCAGCAGGAAAGGCAGCUCAUUUAACUACUCCGAGGAGUCUCUGCAAGGCUGGGCUGGACAUUUUUCCUGUGAUGGGGAGUGAAGGCUAGAGCUUUUUGCCAUCCUAAGGGACAAUGUGCAAAAUCGAAGGCAAAAUGUCUGAAAUAGGAAGGAUGUUUCUUGAUGUAAUGUUUUGUUUAUUUCUAGCUUUCUACACUUUUGAAAAUUGGUGUUUUUUCAGAGCAUUAGAAAUUAAUAAUUCCAGAUUACUGUCACUCUCAGUUCCCAUCACCACCCUUCACUGGGUAGGUCAACAGGUUCACUUGUGCAUGGAGGUAGCAAAUGGAUAUAAAAUGUCCCCAUGCAGCCCAAGUGGCAUCACCAGGAGCAAGUGAGAGUCCCUGAAAUAGCAGGAGAGGAUCAGGGAGCGACAAUACCUAGGGAGCUACACUUCAUGCUAGGAGAAAUUAGGAAACACAUGCAUAUAAGAGGACAUGACCAUCCAUCAUCAUUCAAUAUUAUCAGGAUAUGUGUAGCCAAUUCCCUGUCAUGUUCAGAGAAACACAGAUCCCUUCUCUUUGCACGUUUUUAUAUUUUUAUCACACAUUGCUCACUUUGCAUCACAUAAUUUAAUGUAAUUCCUAGUUUAAACAGAUAGUCUCACAUUGCAUUUUUUGUCACAGUACCACAUUUGGACACAAAUCCCCCACAACACAGUAGUGUAAUACACAACUAUGGAGGGGAGACACAUGGAUGACGUGACUUCCAGGUGAAGGAUGUGGAUACAGAAAUUUGAAAUAUCUUCUUAAGAAACAAGGGCUUUGAAACCACGGUUUCCAGAGAAUAUUUAGCAAUUCAUGUUCUGGAACUCAGACUAAAAUGAGAUUUUAAAACAAAGUGUAGAUCAAAACUUGGCAUGUUGUUUCUGUGGAAGUGCUAACAUUUCCAGACAGUUUCUUGUUCUGUUCUGGGUUGGAACAAAGCCUAAAAAAGUUUUACCUUUCCAGUGGAAAUGAAAUUCUGAAAAUAUUUUGUUCUAGGAAGCUCAAAACAUUGUUUUUUGCCUUUUCCAAAAUCAAAGGCAGCAGACGUGCCCGUGGGGAGGAGAGGCAUGGUCCUCUCAGGUGGCUGCCAUGUCUGAAGUGCAAUGGUGUCAGACAUGACUCCACAGCAUUUCCUGGAUGUUUCUACGAUGUGUGGAACAUAGAAACUCCUCAAUCCCUUUCUUCCUUGGGCCUCCAGACCGGCCAUCAGCCCUGCUGUGCUGCAGGGCUGGGAGCUGCAACCCCUGAACUGGAGCUGGGCAUCAUCUGCUGCCAGAGAACACAGCCUGCGAGACU